rnacentral:rRNA from 1 species
AGAGUUUGAUCAUGGCUCAGGAUGAACGCUGGCGGCGUGCCUAACACAUGCAAGUCGAACGAAGCUCCUGCGACAGAUUCUUUCGGGAUGAAGAUGCUUGAGACUUAGUGGCGGACGGGUGAGUAACGCGUGGGUAACCUGCCCUGUACUGGGGGACAACAGUUAGAAAUGACUGCUAAUACCGCAUAAGCCUACAGAGUCGCAUGACUCGGCAGGAAAAAUUCCGGUGGUACAGGAUGGGCCCGCGUCUGAUUAGCUAGUUGGUGAGGUAAUGGCUCACCAAGGCGACGAUCAGUAGCCGGCUUGAGAGAGUGAACGGCCACAUUGGGACUGGAGACACGGCCCAAACUCCGUACGGGAGGCA